AAUUGAAAAACUUACCUUGAUCGAUAGGAGAAUAUUUCUGAAAUAUUUUUUGCGUGACCAUCACUGAUUUUUCUUACCUAUUUCACGUCCAGGCAUCACACAAUAUAUAAAUCAGGUAACUGGUAUACACAGUAUUCAUUUUCCAUCAUUAAUAUUGGUUUCUUCGAUUGAAUUUGACGUGGUGAUGAAAGACCUAGGCUCCUUGUUGAUAUAAAUAGUAGAGUUGUUCGUUUCCAUCUCCUCACCAUUGCCUCCUUCUCUAAACUCCUUUAGCACUACAUUUCUAGCAAACACAAAAAAAUUAAUGGCAGGUUUUAACUCUGUUGCCGA
rnacentral:lncRNA from 1 species